rnacentral:rRNA from 1 species
CUUCGCAAAGCGUACACAUGCAAGUCGAGCGGAAACGAUCCUAGCUUGCUAGGAGGCGUCGAGCGGCGGACGGGUGAGUAAUGCAUAGGAAUCUGCCCGGUAGUGGGGGAUAACUUGAGGAAACUCAAGCUAAUACCGCAUACGCCCCAAGGGGGAAAGCAGGGGAUCUUCGGACCUUGCGCUAUCGGAUGAGCCUAUGUCGGAUUAGCUAGUUGGUGAGGUAAUGGCUCACCAAGGCCGCGAUCCGUAGCUGGUCUGAGAGGAUGAUCAGCCACAUCGGGACUGAGACACGGCCCGAACUCCUACGGGAGGCAGCAGUGGGGAAUAUUGGACAAUGGGCGAAAGCCUGAUCCAGCCAUGCCGCGUGUGUGAAGAAGGCCUUCGGGUUGUAAAGCACUUUCAGCGAGGAAGAACGCUUGUGGGUUAAUACCCCGCAAGAAGGACAUCACUCGCAGAAGAAGCACCGGCUAACUCCGUGCCAGCAGCCGCGGUAAUACGGAGGGUGCAAGCGUUAAUCGGAAUUACUGGGCGUAAAGCGCGCGUAGGCGGCUUGAUAAGCCGGUUGUGAAAGCCCCGGGCUCAACCUGGGAACGGCAUCCG